rnacentral:rRNA from 1 species
UAGGGAAUCUUCCGCAAUGGACGAAAGUCUGACGGAGCAACGCCGCGUGAGUGAAGAAGGAUUUCGGUUCGUAACACUCUGUUGUUAGGGAAGAAAAAAUGUAUAGUAACUAUAUACAAAAGAGACGGUACCUAACCAGAAAGCCACGGCUAACUACGUGCCAGCAGCCGCGGUAAUACGUAGGUGGCAAGCGUUGUCCGGAAUUAUUGGGCGUAAAGCGCGCGCAGGUGGUUUAGAAAGUCUGAUGUGAAAGCCCACGGCUCAACCGGGGAGGGUCAUUGGAAACUAAUAAACAUGCGUGCAGGAGAGAAAAGUGGAAUUCCUAGUGUAGCGGUGAAAUGCGUAGGGAUUAGGAGGAACACCGGUGGCGAAAGCGGCUUUUUAGCCUGCAACUGACACUGAUGCGCGAAAGCAUGGGGAGCAAACAAG